GGGUUGUGAGGUUAAGCGACUAAGCGUACACGGUGGAUGCCCUGGCAGUCAGAGGCGAUGAAGGACGUGCUAAUCUGCGAUAAGCGUCGGUAAGGUGAUAUGAACCGUUAUAACCGGCGAUUUCCGAAUGGGGAAACCCAGUGUGAUUCGUCACACUAUCAUUAACUGAAUCCAUAGGUUAAUGAGGCGAACCGGGGGAACUGAAACAUCUAAGUACCCCGAGGAAAAGAAAUCAACCGAGAUUCCCCCAGUAGCGGCGAGCGAACGGGGAGCAGCCCAGAGCCUGAAUCAGUGUGUGUGUUAGUGGAAGCGUCUGGAAAGGCGCGCGAUACAGGGUGACAGCCCCGUACACAAAAAUGCACAUGCUGUGAGCUCGAUGAGUAGGGCGGGACACGUGGUAUCCUGUCUGAAUAUGGGGGACCAUCCUCCAAGGCUAAAUACUCCUGACUGACCGAUAGUGAACCAGUACCGUGAGGGAAAGGCGAAAAGAACCCCGGCGAGGGGAGUGAAAAAGAACCUGAAACCGUGUACGUACAAGCAGUGGGAGCACGCUUAGGCGUGUGACUGCGUACCUUUUGUAUAAUGGGUCAGCGACUUAUAUUCUGUAGCAAGGUUAACCGAAUAGGGGAGCCGAAGGGAAACCGAGUCUUAACUGGGCGUUAAGUUGCAGGGUAUAGACCCGAAACCCGGUGAUCUAGCCAUGGGCAGGUUGAAGGUUGGGUAACACUAACUGGAGGACCGAACCGACUAAUGUUGAAAAAUUAGCGGAUGACUUGUGGCUGGGGGUGAAAGGCCAAUCAAACCGGGAGAUAGCUGGUUCUCCCCGAAAGCUAUUUAGGUAGCGCCUCGUGAAUUCAUCUCCGGGGGUAGAGCACUGUUUCGGCAAGGGGUCAUCCCGACUUACCAACCCGAUGCAAACUGCGAAUACCGGAGAAUGUUAUCACGGGAGACACACGGCGGGUGCUAACGUCCGUCGUGAAGAGGGAAACAACCCAGACCGCCAGCUAAGGUCCCAAAGUCAUGGUUAAGUGGGAAACGAUGUGGGAAGGCCCAGACAGCCAGGAUGUUGGCUUAGAAGCAGCCAUCAUUUAAAGAAAGCGUAAUAGCUCACUGGUCGAGUCGGCCUGCGCGGAAGAUGUAACGGGGCUAAACCAUGCACCGAAGCUGCGGCAGCGACGCUGAUGCGUUGUUGGGUAGGGGAGCGUUCUGUAAGCCUGUGAAGGUGUGCUGUGAGGCAUGCUGGAGGUAUCAGAAGUGCGAAUGCUGACAUAAGUAACGAUAAAGCGGGUGAAAAGCCCGCUCGCCGGAAGACCAAGGGUUCCUGUCCAACGUUAAUCGGGGCAGGGUGAGUCGACCCCUAAGGCGAGGCCGAAAGGCGUAGUCGAUGGGAAACAGGUUAAUAUUCCUGUACUUGGUGUUACUGCGAAGGGGGGACGGAGAAGGCUAUGUUGGCCGGGCGACGGUUGUCCCGGUUUAAGCGUGUAGGCUGGUUUUCCAGGCAAAUCCGGAAAAUCAAGGCUGAGGCGUGAUGACGAGGCACUACGGUGCUGAAGCAACAAAUGCCCUGCUUCCAGGAAAAGCCUCUAAGCAUCAGGUAACAUCAAAUCGUACCCCAAACCGACACAGGUGGUCAGGUAGAGAAUACCAAGGCGCUUGAGAGAACUCGGGUGAAGGAACUAGGCAAAAUGGUGCCGUAACUUCGGGAGAAGGCACGCUGAUAUGUAGGUGAAGUCCCUCGCGGAUGGAGCUGAAAUCAGUCGAAGAUACCAGCUGGCUGCAACUGUUUAUUAAAAACACAGCACUGUGCAAACACGAAAGUGGACGUAUACGGUGUGACGCCUGCCCGGUGCCGGAAGGUUAAUUGAUGGGGUUAGCGCAAGCGAAGCUCUUGAUCGAAGCCCCGGUAAACGGCGGCCGUAACUAUAACGGUCCUAAGGUAGCGAAAUUCCUUGUCGGGUAAGUUCCGACCUGCACGAAUGGCGUAAUGAUGGCCAGGCUGUCUCCACCCGAGACUCAGUGAAAUUGAACUCGCUGUGAAGAUGCAGUGUACCCGCGGCAAGACGGAAAGACCCCGUGAACCUUUACUAUAGCUUGACACUGAACAUUGAGCCUUGAUGUGUAGGAUAGGUGGGAGGCUUUGAAGUGUGGACGCCAGUCUGCAUGGAGCCGGCCUUGAAAUACCACCCUUUAAUGUUUGAUGUUCUAACGUUGACCCGUAAUCCGGGUUGCGGACAGUGUCUGGUGGGUAGUUUGACUGGGGCGGUCUCCUCCUAAAGAGUAACGGAGGAGCACGAAGGUUGGCUAAUCCUGGUCGGACAUCAGGAGGUUAGUGCAAUGGCAUAAGCCAGCUUGACUGCGAGCGUGACGGCGCGAGCAGGUGCGAAAGCAGGUCAUAGUGAUCCGGUGGUUCUGAAUGGAAGGGCCAUCGCUCAACGGAUAAAAGGUACUCCGGGGAUAACAGGCUGAUACCGCCCAAGAGUUCAUAUCGACGGCGGUGUUUGGCACCUCGAUGUCGGCUCAUCACAUCCUGGGGCUGAAGUAGGUCCCAAGGGUAUGGCUGUUCGCCAUUUAAAGUGGUACGCGAGCUGGGUUUAGAACGUCGUGAGACAGUUCGGUCCCUAUCUGCCGUGGGCGCUGGAGAACUGAGGGGGGCUGCUCCUAGUACGAGAGGACCGGAGUGGACGCAUCACUGGUGUUCGGGUUGUCAUGCCAAUGGCACUGCCCGGUAGCUAAAUGCGGAAGAGAUAAGUGCUGAAAGCAUCUAAGCACGAAACUUGCCCCGAGAUGAGUUCUCCCUGACCCUUUAAGGGUCCUGAAGGAACGUUGAAGACGACGACGUUGAUAGGCCGGGUGUGUAAGCGCAGCGAUGCGUUGAGCUAACCGGUACUAAUGAACCGUGAGGCUUAACCUUACAACGCCGAAGGUGUUU
rnacentral:rRNA from 1 species